rnacentral:misc_RNA from 1 species
AAGUCGUAACAAGGUUUCCGUAGGUGAACCUGCGGAAGGAUCAUUACUGAAGAUAAGUGCGCAAGUGCUUAAUUUCCUUCAAACCCUCACUUGAAUGUCCGGAAGCAAGGUUUCUUGUGGAUGGUGUUCAAGUGUGUUUUACAUCUUGUGUGUAAUAACCUGUCUGAUAAUACAUAACAAACCAAAA